GACGAACGCUGGCGGCGUGCUUAACACAUGCAAGUCGAACGGAAAGGCCCUGCUUUUGUGGGGUGCUCGAGUGGCGAACGGGUGAGUAACACGUGAGUAACCUGCCCUUGACUUUGGGAUAACUUCAGGAAACUGGGGCUAAUACCGGAUAUGAGCGCCUGCUGCAUGGUGGGGGUUGGAAAGUUUCGGCGGUUGGGGCUGGACUCGCGGCUUAUCAGCUGGUUGGUGGGGUAGUGGCUUACCAAGGCUUUGACGGGUAGCCGGCAUGAGAGGGUGACCGGCCACAUUGGGACUGAGAGACGGCCCAGACUCCUACGGGAGGCAGCAGUGGGGAAUAUUGCACAAUGGGCGGAAGCCUGAUGCAGCAACGCCGCGUGCGGGAUGACGGCCUUCGGGUUGUAAACCGCUUUCGCCUGUGACGAAGCGUGAGUGACGGUAAUGGGUAAAGAAGCACCGGCUAACUACGUG
rnacentral:rRNA from 1 species